rnacentral:rRNA from 1 species
UAAAUCUACCCCAGAGUCUGGAAUAACCGGCCGAAAGGCUGGCUAAUACUGGAUAGAGCGACGGAAUCCGUAAUGGUUUUCGGAAGGAGCUGGCGACGGCCCUCGCUUUGGGAUGAGCCUGCGUCUCAUUAGGUAGUUGGUGGGGUAACGGCUCACCAAGCCUUUGAUGAGUAGCUGGUCUGAGAGGAUGAUCAGCCACACUGGAACUGAAACACGGUCCAG